rnacentral:lncRNA from 1 species
GUCCAUCCCUCUCUUGACUACAUACCGUGUGUGAGUGUGUGUGUGUGUCCAUCCCUCUCUCGACUACAUACCGUGUGUGUGUGUGUGUGUGUGUGUGUGUGUGUGUGUGUCCGUCCAUCCAUCCAUCCCUCUCUUGACUACAUACCGUGUGUGAGUGUGUGUGUGUGUCCAUCCCUCUCUCGACUACAUACCGUGUGUGUGUGUGUGUGUGUGUGUGUGAGUGUGUGUGUGUCCAUCCAUCCGUCCCUCUCUUGACUACAUACCGUGUGUGUGUGUGUGUGUGUGUGUGUGUGUGUCCAUCCAUCCAUCCCUCUCUUGACUACAUACCCUGUGUGUGUGUGUGUGUGUGUGUGUGUGUGAGAGAGAGAGAGAGAGAGAGUCCCUCUCUUGUCUACAUACCAUGAGAGAGAGAGAGAGAGAGUCCCUCUCUUGUCUACAUACCGUGUGUGAGAGUGUGUGUGUGUGUGUGUGUCCAUCCAUCCAUCCCUCUCUUGACUACAUACCGUGUGUGUGUGUGUGUGUGUGUGUGUGUGUGUGUGUGUGUUGUCCCUCUCUUGUCUACAUACCGUGUGUGUGUGUGUGUGUGUGUGUGUGUGUGUGUGUGUGUGUGUGUGUCCAUCCCUCUCUCGACUACAUACCGUGUGUGUGUGUGUGUGUGUGUGUGUGUGUCCGUCCAUCCCUCUCUUGACUACAUACC